GGAUACGGUUAACGGAGCGAAAGCGACGUUCAACCGCAAAAGAAGCAGAGGGGGCUUAGUGGUGGGGUGACUGCGUACCUUUUGUAUAAUGGGUCAGCGACUUAUAUUCUGUAGCAAGGUUAACCGAAUAGGGGAGCCGGAGGGAAACCGAGUCUUAAUUGGGCGUUAAGUUGCAGGGUAUAGACCCGAAACCCGGUGAUCUAGCCAUGGGCAGGUUGAAGGUUGGGUAACACUAACUGGAGGACCGAACCGACUAAUGUUGAAAAAUUAGCGGAUGACCUGUGGCUGGGGGUGAAAGGCCAAUCAAACCGGGAGAUAGCUGGUUCUCCCCGAAAGCUAUUUAGGUAGCGCCUCGUGAAUUCAUCUCCGGGGGUAGAGCACUGUUUCGGCUAGGGGGCCAUCCCGGCUUACCAACCCGAUGCAAACUGCGAAUACCGGAGAAUGUUAUCACGGGAGACACACGGCGGGUGCUAACGUCCGUCGUGAAGAGGGAAACAACCCAGACCGCCAGCUAAGGUCCCAAAGUCAUGGUUAAGUGGGAAACGAUGUGGGAAGGCCCAGACAGCCAGGAUGUUGGCUUAGAAGCAGCCAUCAUUUAAAGAAAGCGUAAUAGCUCACUGGUCGAGUCGGCCUGCGCGGAAGAUGUAACGGGGCUAAACCAU
rnacentral:rRNA from 1 species